UACGUAGGGUGCAAGCGUUGUCCGGAAUUAUUGGGCGUAAAGAGCUUGUAGGCGGUUUGUCGCGUCUGCUGUGAAAUUUCGGGGCUCAACCCCGAACUUGCAGUGGGUACGGGCAGACUAGAGUGUGGUAGGGGAGACUGGAAUUCCUGGUGUAGCGGUGAAAUGCGUAGAUAUCAAGAGGAACACCUAUAGCGAAGGCAGCUUACUGGGCUGUAACUGACGCUGAGGCACGAAAGUGUGGGGAUCAAACAGG
rnacentral:rRNA from 1 species